rnacentral:rRNA from 2 species
AUGCCGCGGUGAAUCCGUUCCCGGGCCUUGUACACACCGCCCGUCACACCACGAGAGUCGGCAACACCCGAAGUCGGUGAGGUAACCGUUAUGGAGCCAGCCGCCGAAGGUGGGGUUGAUGAUUGGGGUGAAGUCGUAACAAGGUAGCCGUAUCGGAAGGUGCGGCUGGAUCACCUCCUUUCU